rnacentral:rRNA from 1 species
UACGUAGGGGGCGAGCGUUGUCCGGAUUUAUUGGGCGUAAAGAGCGUGUAGGCGGCCAGGUAGGUCUGCUGUGAAAACUCGAGGCUCAACCUCGAGACGUCGGCGGAAACCAUCUGGCUAGAGUCCGGAAGAGGAGAGUGGAAUUCCUGGUGUAGAGGUGAAAUGCGCAGAUAUCAGGAAGAACACCCGUGGCGAAGGCGGCUCAUUGGUCCGGUACUGACGCUGAGGUGCGAAAGCGUGGGGAGCAAACAGG